UAUAUACUCCCUCCGUUCGGAAUUACUUGUCGUGAAAAUGGAUGUAUCUAGACAUAUUUUAGUUCUAGAUACAUCCAUUUCCGAGACAAGUAAUUCCGAACGGAGGGAGUAUGUA
rnacentral:pre_miRNA from 1 species